rnacentral:rRNA from 1 species
GACGGAGGGUGCGGGCGUUAUUCGUUUUGAUUGGGUGUAAAGGGUAUGUAGGUGGCUGCAGAUCAGUUUCGGUGAAAUAGCGGAGCUAUUCCUAUGCUACGCCGUCUCUAUAAUCAAGUAGCUAGCGUUGAGGAUAGGUUGGGGUAAUUUUCUGUGUAAGGGUAAAAUCCCGCCAUACAGGAACGAACGCCAACCGGCGGAGGCACCUUUCUUGCUUCAACUAACGCUAAUGUACGGAAGCUUAGGGCGCAAACGGG